AGGACGAUCAGCCACACUGGAACUGAGACACGGUCCAGACUCCUACGGGAGGCAGCAGUAGGGAAUCUUGCGCAAUGGGCGAAAGCCUGACGCAGCAAUGCCGCGUGCGGGACGAAGGCCCUAGGGUCGUAAACCGCUUUCAGUAGGGACGAAAAUGACGGUACCUGCAGAAGAAGCUCCGGCCAACUACGUGCCAGCAGCCGCGGUGAUACGUAGGGAGCAAGCGUUGUCCGGAAUUACUGGGCGUAAAGGGCUCGUAGGUGGUUGAGUAAGUCAGAUGUGAAAUCUCAGGGCCCAACCCUGAGCGUGCAUUUGAUACUGCUCUGAAUAGAGUCCGGUAGGGGAGUGCGGAAUUCCUGGUGUAGCGGUGAAAUGCGCAGAUAUCAGGAGGAACACCGACAGCGAAGGCAGCACUCUGGGCCGGUACUGACACUGAGGAGCGAAAGCAUGGGUAGCAAACAGGAUUAGAUACCCUGGUAGUCCAUGCCGUAAACGUUGGGCACUAGGUGUGGGGAGAACUCAACUCUCUCCGCGCCGUAGCUAACGCAUUAAGUGCCCCGCCUGGGGAGUACGGCCGCAAGGCUAAAACUCAAAGGAAUUGACGGGGGCCCGCACAAGCGGCGGAGCAUGUUGCUUAAUUCGAGGCAACGCGAAGAACCUUACCUGGGUUGAACUACGUGGGAAAAGCCGCAGAGAUGCGGUGUCCUUCGGGGUCCACGAUAGGUGGUGCAUGGCUGUCGUCAGCUCGUGUCGUGAGAUGUUGGGUUAAGUCCCGCAACGAGCGCAACCCUUGUCCUAUGUUGCCAGCGGGUAAAGCCGGGGACUCGUAGGAGACUGCCGGGGUCAACUCGGAGGAAGGUGGGGACGACGUCAAGUCAUCAUGCCCCUUAUGUCCAGGGCUGCGAACAUGCUACAAUGGCCGGUACAACGGGCAGCUAAACCGCGAGGUCAAGCGAAUCCCACAAAGCCGGUCUCAGUUCGGAUUGAAGUCUGCAACUCGACUUCAUGAAGCUGGAGUCGCUAGUAAUCCCGGAUCAGCAACGCCGGGGUGAAUACGUUCCCGGGCCUUGUACACACCGCCCGUCACACGCCGAAAGUCGGCAACACCCGAAGUCAGUGGCCCAACCCUUAGGGGAGGGAGCUGCCGAAGGUGGGGCUGGCGAUUGGGGUGAAGUCGUAACAAGGUAGCCGUACCGGAAGGUGCGGCUG
rnacentral:rRNA from 1 species